AUUGAACGCUGGCGGAAUGCUUUACACAUGCAAGUCGAGCGGCAGCACGGGGGCAACCCUGGUGGCGAGCGGCGAACGGGUGAGUAAUACAUCGGAACAUGCCCAGUCGUGGGGGAUAACACUUCGAAAGAAGUGCUAAUACCGCAUACGUCCUGAGGGAGAAAGCGGGGGAUCGCAAGACCUCGCGCGAUUGGAGUGGCCGAUGUCAGAUUAGCUAGUUGGGGGGGUAAAGCCUACCAAGGCAACGAUCUGUAGCUGGUCUGAGAGGAUGAUCAGCCACACUGGGACUGAGACACGGCCCAGACUCCUACGGGAGGCAGCAGUGGGGAAUUUUGGACAAUGGGGGGCAACCCUGAUCCAGCCAUUCCGCGUGAGUGAAGAAGGCCUUCGGUUGUAAGCGUCUUCUAGCAGGAACGAAACGGACGAGUACUAAUACAG
rnacentral:rRNA from 1 species